UAAAUGGCCGCGAUAUUUUGAUCGUGCAAAGGUAGCAUAAUAAUUAGUUUUUUAAUUGAGAACUGGUAUGAAUGGUUGAACGAGAAAAAAACUGUCUCAAUUUAAUUUUAAUUAAAAUUUUAUUUUUAAGUUAAAAAGCUUAAAUAUUUUUAAAAGACGAGAAGACCCUAUAGAGUUUUAUAUAAAUUUGUUAUUUUAAAAAGAAUUAGAAUUUUAAGUUUAAUUAUAAUGAUUUAUAUUUAGUUGGGGUGACUAAAAAAUUUAAUAAACUUUUUUUAAAUUUAAACAUAGAUUUAUGAAUAAAUGAUCC
rnacentral:rRNA from 1 species